rnacentral:rRNA from 1 species
GAUGAAUGCUGGCGGCGUGCCUAACACAUGCAAGUCGAGCGGCAGCGAGGGGUGCUUGCACCCUGUCGGCGAGCGGCGAACGGCUGAGUAACGCGUAGGAAUUUGCCCCAAAGUGAGGAAUAACUGCCCGAAAGGGUAGCUAAUGCCGCAUAUGGUCUUCGGAUUACAGGAUUUAUCCGCUUUGGGCGGAGCCUGCGUUGCAUUAGCUAGUUGGUAAGGUAAUGGCCUACCAAGGCAACGAUCCAUAGCUGGACUGAGAGGAUGAUUAGCCAGACUGGAAGUGAGACACGGUACAGAGUCCGAAGGGAGGCAGCAGUAGGGAAUCUUACGCAAAGGGGGAAAGCGUGAUGGAGCAAAGCCGCGGGAGUGAUGAUGGUCCUAGGACCGGAAAAGUCUGUUAUUAGGGAAGUACAAAUGUGUAAGUAACUAUGAACGUUUUGACGGUAACUAAUCAGAAAGCCCCGGCUAACUACGUG